GCUCUAGCCCCAAACACAAACAGUCGAACACGAACUGAAGCACAUACCUCGUUGGCUCCGCCUUCUUGUCUGACGAGUGCGCCUUCUCGUGGAGUCCGCUGCCGCCCUCCGAUCGACGCGCCUCCGCCUCGCCGUCGCCGUCGCCACCCCUCGCCUCCGCCUCGCCAAUACCGGAACCCUUGCCGCCGCGUGCGGCCGACCAUCGUCGACAGCUCGGGGACUGGGUUCGCUCGGCGAUCAUGGCGCUCGCUUCUCGCCUCGUUUCCAAGUCCCGGCAGGUGAGGAGCCCCCCCUCCAGAUCCACGCGCCUUCCCCCCUCUCGCCGCUCGUCAAAUGCUGUCCCGAAUUUCUGCUCGAUGGCGCUCAACAUUGGCCGUGGAGAUCGGGAAUUUUGCGUUUCGCAAAGUCGCCGCUUUCCGCUCGGGCGAUUGUUGAUGAUUGUCUGUUGCUCUUUGUUGCGGGGCGAUUUGAUUCGGCGAUUGUAUUGGGUCGAAUUGUUUUUUUAUGGUUCAAUUUUGAUGUUGGAUUGGGGCUAAGUUGUCGGCAUGACUUUGAGUUCUCUAGCUGGGCUGCUUCUGUUUCUUCGAAAUCUAUUUCUCUUUCUGGGUUUCUUUCUUUUAAAAUUUCUUUAGCCAGUUUAUUUAUUGUUUCAUACCCUGCUGCCCAAAAUUUAUUCUACUUGUUUGCUGGAGACAUGUUCUUUACCCGAUUUUUAGUUCAGUUUAAUAUCAAGUGAAAAAUAUAUGUUGUGUUUCGCAUGGGACUUCUUUGUAAAUGAACGAGGCCUCAUAGAUGGUAUAGGCUCUGUUUAUAGAUAAAAGCUGAAGCAUUAAAUGGAGAUAGAUUUAGCUGUUCAGCAAGGUUUUACUUAGAUAUGUUCACUCUUGUGUACUUAUCAGUUGAUAUUGGAAACAAAGAUAGUCUUUGUGUGGUCUUUGAAUCAUUGGCAAUUCUGGGUUUGCAUUGAUUACUUAUGAUAAAAUUGCAUGUGCUGUGUCUUUGCUUUCUGGAACACACGAGCGGCGAGCCUGUUUUUUAGUGGUAGGCUAGGCUUCAUUACGGUGGAUUUUGGUGAGGCUAAGCAGGCUGAACCAGGAAAUUUGGAGGAGACAGGUGAAAAGCAAACAUCUGAACAGGUGUGUAGCUUUUCCAGGAAGCCAUCAAGAAAUAAGAAUAUCAGGAAGCGGGAUGGUUGAAGAAGACGAUGAUGAAGAUUCCAAGACGGAGAGUUCAGUGUUACAUAAUCAGAAGAAACCUCAAAGGAAAGGCAAUAAGCUGUAUUUUUCAACUGGAUCCUCCAAGAGCUCUGUGUCUGCAGAAUCAACCUUUGAUUCUGAUAAGUAGAUUCUGAAGAAAGGAGAAGAUUGCAUAUUUUACUCUAGAAAGUAAAACCCUUUUCAGCAUAUUUACCGAGCUCACCAUACCUUAUGAAUUCGUGGGCAAAAAGUCCAGCUUUUCUUAUUUCCGAUUCUCUAGCAUCUUCUUUUCCAAUUGUAUGAAUGUAUUUCUUAAACAUUUACUUCUCUCCGA